rnacentral:rRNA from 1 species
AUGGAUUGGAAUCCAAAGGUUCUAUGUUGGAACGUGCGGGGCUUGAAUAACCCCGCGAAGAGGAAUGUCGUGCAGGAGUUUGUGGUUGAAGCUAGAGCUAACCUCGGGUGUCUCCAAGAAACGAAACUGGAUGUAAUUGACCCAUUUAUUGUUAUACAAUACUUAGGGCCAUCGUUGGAUGGCUUUGCCUACUUGCCUGCGUCGGACACUCGUGGGGGUAUUCUCUUGGGGUGGGACACGAUGACUUUGGACGUGGACAACAUUGUCCUGGAUACUUACUCUCUCACAGGGCUGGUGCACUGCAAGGACGGGUCAGCAUGGUGGGUGACAUUUGUUUAUGGGCCGCAAGGGGACGAGGAGAAGAUGCAAUUUCUAGUCGAGCUCCGUAACAGACGGACGGUUCGUUCGGGGCCUUGGAUGGUGCUCGGGGAUUUCAACAUGAUCCUACGAGCGUAUGAGAAGAGUAACAAUAACUUAAACAGGAGGAUCAUGAGAAGGUUCAAUGAAUUCGUGGACGAUUGUGAGCUUAAGGAGCCAUAUUUGCAUGGGAGGCGUUUCACUUGGUCGAACGAACGGGAGCAGCCAGUUAUGACGAAGAUCGACCGCGUUCUUGUCUCGGUUGAUUGGGAACUCAACUACCCUGAUCUGCUAUUCCAAGCCCUUUCUACUAAUAUCUCAGAUCAUGCCCCUCUACACUUAUCCACAUCCGCGCCUUUUUGUGCUAAGAAACGAUUUCGCAUUGAGAUGUUUUGGUUGAAGUUGGAUGGCUUUGAAUAG